AACGAACGCUGGCGGUAUGCUUAACACAUGCAAGUCGAACGAACAAAAUUGGGGCUUGCUCCAAUUUUAGCGAGUGGCAAACGGGUGAGUAACACGUGGGAAUCUACCUAUCAGUACGGAAUAACAUUUGGAAACAGAUGCUAAUACCGUAUAUUCUCCAAGGAGGAAAGAUUUAUCGCUGAUAGAUGAGCCCGCGUAAGAUUAGGUAGUUGGUAGGGUAAUGGCCUACCAAGCAGACGAUCUUUAGCUGGUCUGAGAGGAUGAUCAGCCACACUGGUACUGAGAAACGGCCCAGACUCCUACGGGAGGCAGCAGUGGGGAAUAUUGGACAAUGGGCGAAAGCCUGAUCCAGCAAUACCGCGUGAAUGAUGAAGGCCUUAGGGUUGUAAAGUUCUUUUAGUUGGAAAGAUAAUGACGGUACCAACAGAAAAAGCCCCGGCUAACUCCGUGCCAGCAGCCGCGGUAA
rnacentral:rRNA from 1 species